rnacentral:rRNA from 1 species
UACGAAGGGGGCUAGCGUUGUUCGGAAUUACUGGGCGUAAAGCGCACGUAGGCGGCUUUCUAAGUCGGGGGUGAAAUCCUGGAGCUCAACUCCGGAACUGCCUUUGAUACUGGCAAUCUUGAGACUGGAAGAGGUUAGUGGAAUUCCCAGUGUAGAGGUGAAAAUUCGUAGAUAUUGGGAAGAACACCAGUGGCGAAGGCGGCUAACUGGUCCAGUACUGACGCUGAGGUGACGAAAGCGGUGGGGAGCAAACAGG